CCUUCUCCUCUCUCCCUCACUCGGUCUCCCUCUUCCCUGCAGCAAGGCUGCCGCCAUGGGAGCACAAGCUCAAAGCUCCGCCGUCGGCCACCUCGCCCCGUCUGUGGCCAGAUCCGAGCUAGAGCCGCCCGGAUCUAUUGACCCCAACCCGGAUCCACCUCGCCCCGGCCUUCUCCGGCCUCGCCUCGCACCGCCGCUGCCCACGACC
rnacentral:lncRNA from 1 species